GGGAGGCAGCAGCGAGGAAUCUUGGGCAAUGGGCGAAACUGACCCAGCGACGCCGCGUGGGGGAAGAAGGCCUUCGGGUUGUAAACCCCUUUUGCCGGGGAAGAAGCCCUGACGGUACCCGGCGAAUAAGCCACGGCUAACUACGUGCCAGCAGCCGCGGUAAUACGUAGGUGGCAAGCGUUGUCCGGAUUUACUGGGCGUAAAGGGCGUGUAGGCGGUCCGUUAAGUCCGGUGUGAAAUCUCCCGGCUCAACUGGGAGGGGUCAUCGGAUACUGGCAGACUAGAGGGGGGCAGAGGAAGGUGGAAUUCCCGGCGUACGGUUGAAAUGCGUAGAUAUCGGGAGGAACACCAGUGGCGAAGGCGGCCUUCUGGGCCCACCCUGACGCUGAGGCGCGAAAGGUGGGGAGCAAACCGGAUUAGAUACCCGGGUAGUCCACGCCCUAAACGUUGGAUGCUAGGUGUGGGGGGUGUCGACCCCCUCCGUGCCGUAGCUAACGCUUUAAGCAUCCCGCCUGGGGAGUACGGCCGCAAGCUAAAACUCAAAUGAAUUGACGG
rnacentral:rRNA from 1 species